rnacentral:misc_RNA from 1 species
AACGCACAUUGCGCCCGCCGGUAUUCCGGCGGGCAUGCCUGUUCGAGCGUCAUUUCACCACUCAAGCCCGGCUUGGUGUUGGGGCACCCGGCCGCCCAGCGGCCCCGGGGCCCCCAAGUCCAUCGGCGGGCUCGUCGGGACCCUGAGCGCAGUAACACGCGGUAAAACGCGCCCUCGCUCGGCGGAUCCAGUCGGGUUCCAGCCGCUAAACCCCCCUAAACUUCUUAGGUUGACCUCGGAUCAGGUAGGAAUACCCGCUGAACUUAA